UUCACUCAGUAAAAACCCCUAAGAAGCUUAUGUAUCAUAUGGCAUAACUGUGUGACACUAAGAAUUCCAUAUAUUUUCUGAAGUGGGAUUUCUUCUGCUUUCCCACAGAAAGCAGUGGAAUGUUGUUUUUCGGUAAAAACACAUAUGGAUCUAUGUAUAUCAAUGCAAUUUGUAGUUUGCUUUCCUUUUAUAAUGUAGCACAAACAUGUUUUAAAGCAAUGUAAAAGAUUUACUUAACAAUCAAAUAUGACUUUGUUUUUUUUUCAGAAUUAUAGGCUACAAAGUGUAGGCCUGAUCGGCAAGCACCAUACAAGGAUCCAGACACAACCACAUUUCUUCAGCUCUGAUAAAGACCCCCCGGAGACUCGAGUCUACUGUUAACAAUCUAUUGGACACAAAAGUAGAAAUAGCUAAUUUCUCAAGCCAGAUGAUCAGAUUUGUGUAGUUAUGACAUCUACCAGCGGGGCAAAUUUCUGAAGCUAACCAGCGAAAACUUCACCCCAUGUUCAGACCUGAACAUAAACAGCUUCUUGUGUUUGUGUGCUGAAUUCUCAUAAAAAGCCUCUUCAGCAGGAAAAAGAGCAGCUUGGACAUCCUGCUACUCUUCAAAAGACACAAGGGUGAGUAAAUGAUAACAAAAUGUUUGUUUUGGCCAAACUAUCCCUUUAACAUCUUAUUGUGUGGUCUUGAUCUUGUCUCUCUUUAUAUGCAUUGGCCGUCAUAGUUUAAGUGGAGGCCCAGCGUCUUUAUUGAGGCUCUCAGUUCCAAUUAGAUGUUGUGGAAAGCACAAAGUCUGUGACUCAGCUGUUUGCGUGGUGCAUUAUAAAAGAAUGGCAGCAGAGCGGCAGCAAACAGCGCCGUUAAAAAUGCAUGAGGUGCUACCCAGCGCUGCUCUCGCUGCGUCGAAUAGAGCUAUCACGGCUGCCUGUUAUCUCCAGAACCCCCAGGUAGAAAUGGUAAUGAUACUACUUAACACCGCUGCACAUAUGGAGGGAAAAUGGAAAUGCCAACAGCACCUCAACUAUAAAGAAAAUCAAAUUGAAAUAUUAAUCCGCUGAUUAAUAUAACAUUAUGAGAGCCCAUUCUCUUUGUUGUUUAACAACAAAGGAUUGCAAAAUAAGCAACUGCCUGAGAGGUAAGGGGUUUAAAAGAGUCCCACUGAGGUGUUAGGAUCCCUUUCAAACAUCAUUACCACACAUAAUGUAUUCACUUCCACAGUGCUGAGGUUUUGAUAUUGAUGUUUACUCAUUUAUUUUUUAAUUAAUGUUCUUUGUUAAUGAAUUCUUUGAUGAGAGGCAUUUUGUAAAUCAUUAUCCUAAGAAGAAGAUGAAGAAAAAAAAAAACAUUCUUGAAUUUGCCCGUUAAACUUGAAAACGCAAGGUGUAAGGGGAAAAAGUUGAGCAUUGAGUUGUGGGUCAUUGUUGAAAGUUUUUCUUUUUAGGGUCAUUAAUUGUUGUGUCUAUUCUGUGUGUAUGUAACUUUGGGAUUUCAGCUGGGACGUUAUACGGCCCAUUGCAAACAAUGUGUUUGAUUAGACAAAUGCAGAAGUUCAGCGCUGAACCUUCGGCGAAGUUUGAGGGCUCCUCUCAUCGACGUUGAUCAUUUUAGGGUACUUCAUAGUGCAUAUAGUCAAAAUGGAAGAUGAAGAUGUAAAGUCCUCUUCAUACAAACACUUGACUGACAAUACA